AUAAUAUUACUAUUAUUUAAUUUAAGUUAUUUUAAGCAUAAUAUAUGCUAAACCAACUUAAAUUAUAUUUACAAUAGGACCAUCCUAAACCGGUUAAUAAACCAAAAACAAUACUAAACCAACAUGAAUCAAUACCUGAUUCGGCGAGAAAGGAAGUGUUUCGGGAUAAACGCUUGAAUGGUUAUUAACUGUAAUGGUUUGAUCAUGAAAGAGUUACUAUGAAUAUUAACAAUAAAAUUAUGGAUUAGAUUAAUUUAAAUUUGUAAGAAUACCUUUGAGUCUAUGAAAAGCAAUUCAAUUCCCAUGAAUAAGUUUGGCUUUUGGAAGUUGCGGGUUUUCCAACAAUGAAUCCACCUAACAAAAAGUUCGUUGUUAUAAAAAAUCUCUUUCAAGGUCAUUAAAGGUUUUUGGGACGGCAAGAGUUGAUGGUGGAACCAUUUUUUUGCUCGAGUGCUUUGAAGUUUUCCUUGAUAGUGUGAGGUUGAUGUUGAUGGAAUAAUGAGUUUUAUAGAGACUUUCUUGAUGUAAAACUACACAUUUUUAUUUUUUUUGUUUAAUGUGGUAUUUCUAUUUUAAUAUAGUUUACUACCAUUUUAAGAUAGAUGUACAUUUUAAGAUAGAUGUUUAAAUCUUAAUGUACUUUUUCCAUUUCUUAUAUUUUUUAUUUACAUAAUAUCUAUAUUUUAUAUUUUAAAAUAGAUAUUUAAAUCUUAAUGUACAUUUUCCAUUUUUUUCAAUUGUGUAUUUACUUAUAUUAUAUAUUUUCCAUUUUAAGAUAGAUGUUUAAUGCUUCAUGAACUUUUUCCAUUUUUUUUUUAAAAUUGUGUAUUUACUUAUUAUUAUAUAUAUAAUUCAUAUAUUAUAUAUUUACAUUAUUCACUUAUUAUUUAUUUUCAUGUUUAUGUAUUUCCAUUUCUUGUAUUUUUAUUUACUUAAUGUCUCUAUUUUACAUUUUAAGAUAGAUGUUUAAAUCUUAAUGUAUGUUUUCCAUUUUUUUAAAUUUUAUAUUUCCA
rnacentral:lncRNA from 1 species